AGCAUCUCCAAUGGUGAGAGCCUC
rnacentral:siRNA from 1 species